rnacentral:tRNA from 1 species
GCGGGCGUGGCGGAAUGGUAGACGCAACGGACUUAAAAUCCGUUUUCCGUAAGGAAGUGCCGGUUCGAGUCCGGCCGCCCGCACCA